GUCUCGCUGGGAAGACGACCGUGGCAGAGCAACCGGCGACCGAGAGACAUUCUUCCCUUGGCAUCGCCGUUGGUCCUUGCAGCACCGAAUUCGCAACCGAGAGUGAGUCUCCGGCGCCAAUGAGGGUCGUCAGGGGUGCGGCUAUGGCCAUCAUCGGGGCCAGGGGCGGCCGGCUUGAGGCGAGCGCUAGCAGCGUCCCGAUCGGGCGAGAAAGCCGCGGACAAACGGGAACCUAUAGAAAGAUUAUCAAACGGCUAAGGGGAUUGACAACCAAAAAGCUCCUUUGGUGCAUGGUGUCUAGUGGUAUGCUUAUGGGCACCACCCGUUUGCAUGUGGAUUGCCAUAACGCAUUUAUGAAUCAAUGUAUAACAACGUAGUAGUUCUUUUACAACAUGUAAUAUAUGCCGGGUAAAGCACAUUGUUAGGUCCUGGAUUUGUUCACUGGUAGUAGCAAAUGUUCCUCGAUCCA